rnacentral:tRNA from 1 species
GGGUUUAUAACUCAAUUGGUUAGAGUAUAGGACUCAUAAUCCUCUAGUUGUAGGUUCAAGUCCUACUAAACCCA